rnacentral:rRNA from 1 species
AGAACGAACGCUGGCGGCAUGCCUAAUACAUGCAAGUCGAACGAACUCUUCGGAGUUAGUGGCGCACGGGUGCGUAACGCGUGGGAAUCUGCCCCUUGGUUCGGAAUAACAGUUGGAAACGACUGCUAAUACCGGAUGAUGACGAAAGUCCAAAGAUUUAUCGCCAAGGGAUGAGCCCGCGUAGGAUUAGCUAGUUGGUGAGGUAAGGCUCACCAAGGCAACGAUCCUUAGCUGGUCUGAGAGGAUGAUCAGCCACGACUGGGACUGAGACACGGCCCAGACCUCCGUACGGGAGGCAGCAGUAGGGAAUAGUUGGACAAGUGGGACGAAAGGCCUGAUCCAGCAAUGCCGCGUGAGUGAGUGAAGGCCGUUAGGUUAGUAAA